rnacentral:rRNA from 1 species
GACGAACGCUGGCGGCGUGCUUAACACAUGCAAGUCGAACGGAAAGGCCCUGCUUUUGUGGGGUGCUCGAGUGGCGAACGGGUGAGUAACACAUGAGUAACCUGCCCUUGACUUUGGGAUAACUUCAGGAAACUGGGGCUAAUACCGGAUAGGAGCUCCUGCUGCAUGGUGGGGGUUGGAAAGUUUCGGCGGUUGGGGAUGGACUCGCGGCUUAUCAGCUUGUUGGUGGGGUAGUGGCUUACCAAGGCUUUGACGGGUAGCCGGCCUGAGAGGGUGACCGGCCACAUUGGGACUGAGAUACGGCCCAGACUCCUACGGGAGGCAGCAGUGGGGAAUAUUGCACAAUGGGCGGAAGCCUGAUGCAGCAACGCCGCGUGCGGGAUGACGGCCUUCGGGUUGUAAACCGCUUUCGCCUGUGACGAAGCGUGAGUGACGGUAAUGGGUAAAGAAGCACCGGCUAACUACGUGCCAGCAGCCGCGGUGAUACGUAGGGUGCGAGCGUUGUCCGGAUUUAUUGGGCGUAAAGGGCUCGUAGGUGGUUGAUCGCGUCGGAAGUGUAAUCUUGGGGCUUAACCCUGAGCGUGCUUUCGAUACGGGUUGACUUGAGGAAGGUAGGGGAGAAUGGAAUUCCUGGUGGAGCGGUGGAAUGCGCAGAUAUCAGGAGGAACACCAGUGGCGAAGGCGGUUCUCUGGGCCUUUCCUGACGCUGAGGAGCGAAAGCGUGGGGAGCGAACAGGCUUAGAUACCCUGGUAGUCCACGCUGUAAACGGUGGGUACUAGGUGUGGGGUCCAUUCCACGGGUUCCGUGCCGUAGCUAACGCUUUAAGUACCCCGCCUGGGGAGUACGGCCGCAAGGCUAAAACUCAAAGGAAUUGACGGGGCCCCGCACAAGCGGCGGAGCAUGCGGAUUAAUUCGAUGCAACGCGUAGAACCUUACCUGGGUUUGACAUGGAUCGGGAGUGCUCAGAGAUGGGUGUGCCUCUUUUGGGGUCGGUUCACAGGUGGUGCAUGGCUGUCGUCAGCUCGUGUCGUGAGAUGUUGGGUUAAGUCCCGCAACGAGCGCAACCCUUGUUCACUGUUGCCAGCACGUUAUGGUGGGGACUCAGUGGAGACCGCCGGGGUCAACUCGGAGGAAGGUGGGGAUGACGUCAAGUCAUCAUGCCCCUUAUGUCCAGGGCUUCACGCAUGCUACAAUGGCUGGUACAGAGAGUGGCGAGCCUGUGAGGGUGAGCGAAUCUCGGAAAGCCGGUCUCAGUUCGGAUUGGGGUCUGCAACUCGACCUCAUGAAGUCGGAGUCGCUAGUAAUCGCAGAUCAGCAACGCUGCGGUGAAUACGUUCCCGGG